CAGUGAUUGUAUACAACACAGAUCUCCAAACACCUGGAGGAAGAAGCAGUUACGGGAGAGAGUUAGCUGCGAAUAGCCAAUCUCAGAAUUAGAAUCUGAAAACUAAUUAUUCGAAAUUAGACACAAGUUACCCAAGAGAGAGAAUCCUCC